rnacentral:rRNA from 1 species
CACAUGCAAGUCGAACGGAACUAAGGGGCUUGCCCUUUAGUUAGUGGCGGACGGGUGAGUAACGCGUGAGCAACCUGCCUUUCAGUGGGGAAUAAUAUCCUAGAAAAGGGUACUAAUACCGCAUAACGUAACGAGAUCGCAUGGUUUUGUUACCAAAGAUUUAUCGCUGAGAGAUGGGCUCGCGUCCGAUUAGCCAGUUGGUGGGGUAACGGCCUACCAAAGCUACGAUCGGUAGCCGGACUGAGAGGUUGAACGGCCACAUUGGGACUGAGACACGGCCCAGACUCCUACGGGAGGCAGCAGUGGGGGAUAUUGCGCAAUGGGGGAAACCCUAGACGCAGCAAUGCCGCGUGAAGGAUGAAGGUCUUCGGAUUGUAAACUUCUUUUGUCAGGGACGAAAAUUGACGGUACCUGACGAAUAAGCUCCGGCUAACUACGUGCCAGCCGCCGC